rnacentral:rRNA from 1 species
AGAGAGAGACAUGCGCGCAUAUCAAUAAGCGGAGGAAAAGAAACUAACAUAGGAUUCCCUCAGUAACGGCGAGUGAAGCGGGAAGAGCUCAAAUUUGAAAUCUUCAAGGUUUUACCUUGACGAAUUGUAGUUUAUAGAAGUGUUUUCUGUUAGAGAGGUUGGUAAAAGUUCUUUGGAAUAGGACAUCAUAGAGGGUGAGAAUCCCGUAUUUGGAUCCAUUAUUUCCAGCUGUGUGAUACACUUUCAAAGAGUCGGAUUGUUUGGGAAUGCAGUCCAAAAUGGGUGGUAAAUUUCAUCUAAAGCUAAAUACUGGCGAGAGACCGAUAGCGAACAAGUACCGUGAGGGAAAGAUGAAAAGAACUUUGAAAAGAGAGUUAAACAGUACGUGAAAUUGUCAAAAGGGAAGCGUUUGACACCAGUGUUGUUUUCUCGAAAAUCAAUUAAAAAUGGCGGAUUUAUGUAGGUAGUAUUGACUUUAUCAGGCUUGCUGCUAGCUUUUUCUGGUCUUUUUUGAUGCACUUUUCGGUUAACAAGUCAACAUCAAUUUCUUUUGUUGUAAAAGAGUCAGAUGGAAGGUGGCUUUCAGCUUCGGUUAAAGUGUUUAUAGCCUUUUACCUUCUGCAGUCGGAGAGAUUGAGGUCUGCAGCGUAGAUCCUUCGGGGUUAGAUACAGUUUGUAGCUAAGUUAUAGUUUUCAUAGACAACAUGUUGACUAUGAUUAGUCAUGUAGCUUACUCGCUUGUGCUAUUUUACCUACGCUUAGGAUGUUGACAGCAGUAUAGACUGU